CCGUUCUUGUGUUAUUCGCUGAAUUCGUCUCCUCGUUCAGCGAUUGUCAAACAGAACGCACAUGAAUCACCAGACCCGCUUACUCCAUAAUGUCGAGCUGACUUUAGUCUAUGGCUUUGACAUUACUAAAUGCCGGUCACAUUC